ACAAAGUCUGCGUCAAUUUUUGUACAGCCCUCGUAUCAUAACCAUUUACAUUAUGGUGAUUUUGUUAAGUGCGGAUAUAACAGUCAUUUGGAAAGUAUCAGUACUACGGACUAGAACUUUACGAUUAAACCAAGGGAGUAAAAGUUACUGUUUAUGAUGGCAUACAAAUUACAACUUGUACUGUUGGUCAUGCACUUUGGCGUGUUUCUCACUGUGGAUGUAUUUGAUAUGAAUACAAAUAUACCUUGCCCAUACAAAUGUGAAGACUGGAUAUGUAAAAUUGGCAUAGGCUGCGCAGUUUGCAAGACGGGUUAUUCUAAGCUAUAUAACGGAGUAUUCGUUGGCUAUAUUUGUGUUCUGGGCUGUCCACCAGGCUAUACGCUGAAGAACAAAUACUGCGUUAAGACCUAGUAACAGCUCAAUUCUGCCCUAGAAGCUCUAUAGUCGUGUCAAAUGAUUUUUAGAUGGCUUUGACACAAGCUGUGCAGAAAAAUGUACAUUCUUUCUCAUAAACAAUUAUUGAAGAAUACGGUUUACUAAUUUGCUGAAACUUUUCUUGAACAUUUAAUGUAUCCUUGUAUAUCUUACUUUGUCAGAAGUCUUGAAUAAAAACAUUAUUUUUGGAGUUGUAUGAUGAAUAAUUGUAAUUCAAUUUCAUUCAGACAUGAGGCCGAUUACUGUCAAAAGUAAUGGAUUACAUUCGAUAACCAUUACAGUUCUUUCCUUUGCGAAUACAAUUACUUUCAUUCAGAUUUACUUCUUGUAAGAGAUUACAUUCAAUUACGAAUAAAUUACUACGAUUACUUUUGACUUCGAAGAAAUGUAAGGUAUACAUAUAUUUUAACUGAUUCUUGUAUAUUCUACUCACUAAAUAUAGACCUCGUAUAACUUGAAAACACAUUUCGACAGUUUACAGAUACUUUUUAUGAUAUUUACUUGAAUUAGAAUACAUGGUUUAUCUAA
rnacentral:lncRNA from 1 species